AAUAAAUGCAGCCAUAAGUUUCCAUGUCUAAUUUUAAUUACUUGUUUUACUUAAAUUUUUUAUGAUUAGUAUUUUUUUAUUAGAUGAUAAUAUAUGAAUAAUACUUUAUACGUGACUUAUUUUUUUAUUUUUUUAAUUUUUUUAAAUACGAUGGACGAAUAAAGUUGGACGGAAAUUCAUGUCUGCACUUAAA
rnacentral:pre_miRNA from 1 species